GAGGUACAGUACAGAUGUUGACCUGAAAAAGACGGGGUUGAAGAGAAGAGGUACAGUACAGAUGUUGACCUGGAAAAGACGGGGUUGAAGAGAGGAGGUACAGUACAGAUGUUGACCUGGAAAAGACGGGGUUGAAGAGAAGCCUGGACUCCCAAAUGAACAUUGUUCCAAAUCACUUUUGUUACAACAGAUCGAUAGUUGGAUUUCAGGCUAUUUAAGGAGAAGUAUGAAAGGGGAAAGUGAUGACAAUGGGGAUGAAGAGGAACAUGAGGAAGAGGAGCAGGAAGAAGAGGGCAGCGUCUGUGUAAACGGAUAGUAGAAAAACUGCCAUGCUAAGUGAAAGAGUGAACCACACUGACCUAGCAGCAACAUUUCGCUUCAUAAAUAUAAAAAUGAUAGAAAUACAUCAACAAGUAAACAAACCACAAAAGUCCACUUCAAUAGUGAUAAUGAAUGACAGGUAGCCAGUCCACUUCAGUAGUGAUAAUGAAUGACAGGUAGCCAGUCCACUUCAGUAGUGAUAAUGAAUGACAGGUAGCCAGUCCACUUCAGUAGUGAUAAUGAAUGACAUGUAGCCAGUCCACUUCAGUAGUGAUAAUGAAUGACAGGUAGCCAGUCCACUUCAGUAGUGA
rnacentral:lncRNA from 1 species